rnacentral:lncRNA from 1 species
UGAGAAAAUACUUAUUAAAAAAAAAAGGCACUAGCAUCUUAAGAGAGGACUUAGGAGUUUGAAACCUGAUGAGUAUUUACUAACUUUGGCCUUUGCCUUUCUUUGUAGGCCUAGAGUUUAGCAUAGUUCCUGGCACACGAGAAGGGGCUUUCUUUGAUGAUGAGGACACACAAACUGGGCAACUCUGUCAGCAUCAUCCAUGUCAAGCAAAGUUCUUCAGAGAGACCUCAAGAGUGUCCUUGUAUCACCAACUACCCUGUGAAUGUCUUCCUUGUGGAGUUUCCCAAAACCAAAGUCUCUUAUGAAGAAAAAUCAAGUUCAUAAGACAGUAAAGCAAUCCAACAUUAUAGAAGGGAGAUUGUCACAAUAUGAAGGACAGUCAGGGAAAAUGAUGGAACCCUGGAGAGAACGGGACAUCUUUCUUCAAAACGGUAAAAGUCUGAUGGGUUUUUUAGAGGCUAUUUAUCUGGGUCUAGCAGCACCAGGCAUUGGGGGAAGGGAACAAGGAGUUUGGACCUGGACCCUGAUACUGAUUCUUGCUAGUAAGGGGAGGAGAUUAUGGGGGAAUGGGUGGCUGGUUGAUAUUCAAACUUCCUGCUGUCUAGAAAGGGGCUUUGGACCUUUAUUGCUGGUCUUACUGGGACAGAAUAACUCAGGAUUUUCUAAACUUCCCUGAGGAUUCUUUGUUUAAUGGUUAGAAACUACAAAAAUCAUUAUACCUAAGUGGUCAGUUUGGUGAUUUUCUG